rnacentral:rRNA from 1 species
UACGUAGGGUGCAAGCGUUAUCCGGAUUUAUUGGGUUUAAAGGGUGCGCAGGCGGAAGAUCAAGUCAGCAGUAAAAUUGAGAGGCUCAACCUCUUCGAGCCGUUGAAACUGGGGAUCUAGAGUGUGCGAGAGGUAUGCGGAAUGCGUGGUGUAGCGGUGAAAUGCAUAGAUAUCACGCAGAACCCCGAUUGCGAAGGCAGCAUACCGGUGCACAACUGACGCUCAGGCACGAAAGCGUGGGUAUCGAACAGG